rnacentral:rRNA from 1 species
AUUGAACGCUGGCGGCAGGCCUAACACAUGCAAGUCGAGCGAGCGGCGGAAGGGUGAGUAAUGUAUGGGGACUGCCCGAUAGAGGGGGAUAACAACUGGAAACGGUAGCUAAUACCGCAUACUAUCGGAUAACCCAUAUGGGAGUAGAUAGUGGGUGAGGUAAUGGCUCACUUAGGAGACGAUCUCUACCUGGUCUGUGAGGAGGAUCAGCCACACUGGGACUGAGACACGGCCCAGACUCCUGCGGAGGCAGCAGUGGGGAAUAUUGCGCAAUGGGCGAAAGCCUGAUGCAGCCAUUCCGCGUGUAUGAAGAAGGCCGUCGGUUUGUAAAGUACUUUCAGCGGGGAGGCGUUACCCGCCGAAGAAGCACCGGCUAACUCCGUGCCAGCAGCCGCGGUAAUAC